rnacentral:lncRNA from 1 species
AUGUGUGCGUCUGUACGAGUCUUAGCUGUACUUGAGUUGUUUGUGUGUAUACACGGGUGUCUCUUCCGAACGGGGUGCUGGAUGGGCGUGGGGGGGGGGCUCUGUCCUGGACGCGGUGUAUCUUCCUCGAUCCAUGUCCCUAUCGCCGGGAGUCAGCCCGAGACACACAGCGCGUCUCUUGAGUACGAGGAGCCUCCGCGAACCUUUCUCUUGCUCCCGGGUGAGCUCUGGGGUGUGUGCCUUCCCCGUUUACUGUGUUGGUCCCUCUCCGAGAAGGCGAAGCGCCAGUGUUCCCGAAUUUCUGGGAGCGCAAGGUGUGUCCCCCCACUUUACGCACACGGAGCGUCGUGUCCCAGCCUUCGCGAGUACACGGUGUGCCCCCCCCCCCGCUCCACGCGGUGUACCUGGCUCCCCAAGUCCUUGCGAGUACAACGUGUGUCCUACCGCCAUACGCGGAGCUGCUGUGUCCGAGUCCCUGCCGAUCCGCGGUGGCUAUGUGUUACCUCCCAACCGCGGAUGGCUCUUGCCCUCGAUACUCAGCAUUCGUUACUGGACCAGUGUAGUAUUUCACACAGGAAGCCAUCCUGCUGACAUUCCAGGAGAACAUGAAGUGAUAUUUUCAGAGAGCUGACGCCUCUAUACCAGGAAGCUCCAGCGCUUUAUAGGUAUCAGCUUCUUAAAUCCUCACAACAUCCUGUAAAGGUACUGUUACUACCCUCAUCUUACAGAUGAGAAGAUUGAUGUGGAGAGAAGCUGAGUGACUUUCCUGAUUUCAUUCAACUAGAAAGCAAUGGAGCUGGGAUUCUAACUUAAGUAGAUUUACUCCAGGCUAAGACAACUAAACCA